rnacentral:rRNA from 1 species
GACGGAGGGUGCAAGCGUUAUCCGGAUUCACUGGGUUUAAAGGGUGCGUAGGUGGGCAAGUAAGUCAGUGGUGAAAUCUCCGGGCUUAACCCGGAAACUGCCAUUGAUACUAUUUGUCUUGAAUACUGUGGAGGUCAGCGGAAUAUGUCAUGUAGCGGUGAAAUGCUUAGAUAUGACAUAGAACACCAAUUGCGAAGGCAGCUGGCUACACAAAUAUUGACACUGAGGCACGAAAGCGUGGGGAUCAAACAGG